GGCACAGUGGCUUAGUGGUUCGCAUGUUUGACUCACACAUAUAGGGUUGGGGGUUCAAUUCCCACCUCUGCCC